GGGUGAGGUGGCACACGCCUGUAGUCCCAGUAACUCAGGAGGCUGAGGUGGGAGGAUGGCAAGUUUGAGGAUAGCCUCAGCAAUUUAGCCAGACCCUGCCUCAA
rnacentral:sRNA from 1 species